rnacentral:sRNA from 12 species
UUAAGAGAAUGCCUCUGUCAUUACCCGCCAUGAGCGGAUAUGGGAAUGCAAUUGUAGA